UUUAAACUCCCCUCCUACGAACAACGAAUUUGUGCCUGGAGAUCUCCUGAUUAUUUGCAGUAGUUGUCCCCCAAGAUCCCCUACCUGCUGGCAGGGACACAUGACAGUGGUUACACUUGGAUCAUGUUUUCAAGCCUUUCUGUGCAACCAGUGCUGAAAAUCCAGGUAUGAGCAUCAUGGGCUCAGUCCUGCAAUGAGAAGCAAAUGGGGACUGCUUGUGUGCUUACUACAUGUCUUGCUGAAACAGGACCAGUGCUCAGCCUGGGACACAGGGAGACCCCAUAAAGGAAGAGAACCAGGAAGUGAAAAUGACUAAACACGUGAAACUGACCAGUCUAGUACUGUAUCAAUAUUGAAGCUGAAUGAAAUUUCAGAAAGUGAACAAAGAGCAUAAAUACUGGCAAGUCAAUUUGAUCUUUAAAAUGAAUUAUUUCAAUAACUGAUGGUGAUACUAGUACUGAGUAAGAAGAUUUGAAUAAAAAGUUGUCUU